GCCAGAUGGAGACGGGCGCUGGUAGGGCUAAUAUGAGAGUAUUAUAUGGGAUAUUUUACGGGAAAAUAUUUAAACGGGAAGACAGCCCAAAAACGAUACAAUACGUGAGAAACUCGGAAAGAACGGGAGGGUUAACGGGAGGCCCCAUGAGCUGGUUACGCCUUCACCCACCUGCCCAACCCCUACAGCAUGCACCACUGGGGAACGUACCGCUUGGCUGCUUGCAUGUUAAGGAAGACAACUGUGUCAGGGGGAAUGAGCACUUGAGUGUUUCCCAAAAGCAGGCUAAGCAGAAGGAAACAAGUGGAUGGCCAAAGGAUACGUGUUCAGUGGGACCUCUGCCUUACUGAUGAUUGCACUAGCAGUCUCCUGGAUGUCCUUCAUUUCCACUGGGGCU